GCUUUCAUGAAGCAUUUAUUUUUAUUCGAAAACAUUAUGCAGGCAUUACAUUGCCACAGCCAGUCCAUGGGCGCGCAUGCAAAUAUCAAAAAUGGAGAGUUUGUUCAACUUGGUGUAAAUUUACUUUUUGGUUCGUAUUUUUCACUUGCAGUGUCAGGAUUAGUGUGCUUUGUUAUGUGGUUUAACGAUAGACUCCUACCCAUGGGGUAAAAUCUGUACUGGUAGCUAGCUGGGGACUUCUAAAUGGUUAUAAAUCAAAAACCCCAAACAAACAAUAGUACACGCUCAUCAAAAGGUUAAUAGCACAAGUUAGCAAUAUCUAAACUAAACACUGAAACAUUUUUCAUGGGACACAGUGGUGUAAAGUCUUCCAUUGCUUGGUCUACCUGGUUGGGUAUUUGAGUUUGAAGCUGUGGGAAGGUCUGACCAAGGCAAGCUCUGUCCCCAGGGCACGUUUUCAUCGAGGAAGUGAGAACCACCCCUUAUCUCUAGUGGGGUUUAGGAGAAUCAUGGCUUGCUCUUACCCAAUCAACUUCUACACAAAUUGCUGAAGUCUCAUGUUUUUGAGGAGAGGUUGGUGGUGGAUUGAAAAGCUGAAAUUUCUGCUGGUGUCUACUGAGGUUAUGAGAUCUCAGAAACGAAAACGCUAGAGUUAAUGUCAUCCUACUCCCAUUUCCCUCCCCAUUCCCAAAGGAUCAAUAAUUUUACACAGAAAGAGAAUUUGUUCUUUGCUGCUUUUUUUUCUUCCUGAAGGGUCAGCAUGGAACUCCUGAUCUUGAACAAUUCAAUAUAUUAUCAACCUUUCUAAACAGACAAACCAGCACACUUAGGUCACCCAGUUACAUGGAAGUCUGAGUAUUAGGACACUAAAUGAUAAAGGGUAUACAGUGAAUUAAUCUCAGUAUUCACACUUGGUUUCCAUACAAUGGAGCCAAUUAAAAUAUCCUAUAAAAUAAUUCAGAUGGCAACCUUUAGCCAUCUGUUGGUUGCAAACCUUUUGGAAAUUUAAAUUUUAAAAAAAUUCCUGUCUAUUGAGUGAACUUGGAAAUAAUUUCAUCAACUUGUUUCUCAUAAGACUUUACUAAGUGUCUACAAAUUGUUAUAAAAAAAAUCAAAAAGA